UACAGAGGUCCCAAGCGUUGUUCGGAUUCAUUGGGCGUAAAGGGUGCGUAGGCGGCGCGGUAAGUCGGGUGUGAAAUCUCGGGGCUUAACUCCGAAACUGCAUUCGAUACUGCCGUGCUUGAGGACUGGAGAGGAGACUGGAAUUUACGGUGUAGCGGUGAAAUGCGUAGAUAUCGUAAGGAAGACCAGCGGCGAAGGCGGGUCUCUGGACAGUUCCUGACGCUGAGGCGCGAAGGUCAGGGGAGCAAACGGG
rnacentral:rRNA from 1 species